CAGUCGCCACGGUAAUACGUAGGGUGCGAGCGUUAAUCGGAAUUACUGGGCGUAAAGUGUGCGCAGGCGGUUAUAUAAGACAGAUGUGAAAUCCCCGGGCUCAACCUGGGACCUGCAUUUGUGACUGUAUAGCUAGAGUACGGUAGAGGGGGAUGGAAUUCCGCGUGUAGCAGUGAAAUGCGUAGAUAUGCGGAGGAACACCGAUGGCGAAGGCAAUCCCCUGGACCUGUACUGACGCUCAUGCACGAAAGCGUGGGGAGCAAACAGGAUUAGAUACCCGUGUAGUCCUUGUCUCUUAUAC
rnacentral:rRNA from 1 species